GUUUUUGAACGCACAUUGCACUUUGGGGUAUCCCCCAAAGUAUACUUGUUUGAGCGUUGUUUCUCUCUUGGAAUUGCAUUGCUUUUCUAAAAUAAUGAAUCAAAUUCGUUUGAAAAACAACACUAUUCAACCUCAGAUCAAGUAGGAUUACCCGCUGAACUUAAGCAUAUCAAUAAGCGGAGGAAAAGAAACCAACAGGGAUUGCCUUAGUAACGGCGAGUGAAGCGGCAAAAGCUCAAAUUUGAAAUCGGCCUCCAGGUCGAGUUGUAAUUUGUAGAUUGUAUUUUGAGAGCGGAUUAAAGUCUGUUGGAACACAGCGCCUUAGAGGGUGACAGCCCCGUAAAAUCUAUUCUCAUUGUAAGAUACUUUCGAAGAGUCGAGUUGUUUGGGAAUGCAGCUCUAAGUGGGAGGUAAAUUCCUUCUAAAGCUAAAUAUUGACGAGAGACCGAUAGCGAACAAGUACUGUGAAGGAAAGAUGAAAAGCACUUUGAAAAGAGAGUGAAAAAGUACGUGAAAUUGUUAAAAGGGAAGGGUAUUGAAUCAGACUUGGUGCUGUUGUUCAACUGUGUUUCGGCAUAGUGUACUCAGCAGUACUAGGCCAAGGUGGGGUGUUUGGGAGUGAAAAAGAAGUAGGAACGUAACUCUUCGGAGUGUUAUAGCCUACUUUCAUAGCUCCUUAGGCGCCUCAGGACUGCGCUUCGGCAAGGACCUUGGCAUAAUGAUUCUAUACCGCCCGUCUUGAAACACGGACCAAGGAGUCUAACGUCUAUGCGAGUGUUUGGGUGUAAAACCCGUACGCGUAAUGAAAGUGAACGUAGAUAGGAGCAGUAAUGCGCACUAUCGACCGAUCCUGAAGUUUUCAGAUGGAUUUGAG
rnacentral:rRNA from 1 species